UACGAAGGGGGCUAGCGUUGCCCGGAAUCACUGGGCGUAAAGCGCACGUAGGCGGAUUGUUAAGUCGGGGGUGAAAUCCUGGAGCUCAACUCCAGAACUGCCUUCGAUACUGGCGACCUUGAGUCCGGGAGAGGUGAGUGGAACUGCGAGUGUAGAGGUGAAAUUCGUAGAUAUUCGCAAGAACACCAGUGGCGAAGGCGGCUCACUGGCCCGGUACUGACGCUGAGGUGCGAAAGCGUGGGGAGCAAACAGG
rnacentral:rRNA from 1 species